rnacentral:ncRNA from 2 species
GCUCGUAGUUGAACUUUGGGAUGGGUCUCCCUGUACGCCUUCGGUGAGCACCGGUCGGCUUGUCUCUUCUGUCGGCGAUAUGCUCGUGGCCUUAACUGGCCGGGUCGUGCCUCCGGUGCUGUUGCUUUGAAGAAAUUAGAGUGCUCAAAGCAAGCCUACGCUCUGUAUACAUUAGCAUGGGAUAACAUCAUAGGAUUUCGAUCCUAUUGUGUUGGCCUUCGGGAUCGGAGUAAUGAUUAACAAGGACAGUCGGUGUAACACCCCCGAACCGUUCUAGGCAUAGGUCAAACCACCGGCCAACAAUCAAACAAGAAC